GUCUGCAUCCAUACCACCCUAAACACACCCAAUCUUAUCUGAUCUCGGAAGCUAAGCAGGGUCAGGGGCCUGGUUAGUAGUUGGAUGGGAAAAGAAACAAUAACUCUAGACGCACAGA
rnacentral:rRNA from 1 species